rnacentral:misc_RNA from 1 species
GAUGAAGAACGCAGCGAAAUGCGAUAAGUAGUGUGAAUUGCAGAAUUCAGUGAAUCAUCGAAUCUUUGAACGCUCAUUGCGCCCCUUGGUAUUCCAUGGGGCAUGCCUGUUCGAGCGUCAUUUGUACCUUCAAGCUCUGCUUGGUGUUGGGUGUUUGUCCUUGCUCUAGUGGCGGGACUCGCCUUAAAGUAAUUGGCAGCCAGUGUUUUGGUUUUGAAGCGCAGCACAAGUCGCGAUUCAAGUCUAUACGCUAGUUUCCACAAGUCUUUUAUCACUUUUGACCUCGGAUCAGGUAGGGAUACCCGCUGAACUUAAGCAUAUCAAUGAGCGGAGGA